rnacentral:rRNA from 1 species
UACAGAGGGUGCGAGCGUUGUCCGGAAUCACUGGGCGUAAAGAGCUCGUAGGCGGUUCGUCGCGUCGGCUGUGAAAUCCCGAGGCUCAACCUCGGGUCUGCAGUCGAUACGGGCGGACUGGAGUUCGGCAGGGGAGACUGGAAUUCCUGGUGUAGCGGUGAAAUGCGCAGAUAUCAGGAGGAACACCGGUGGCGAAGGCGGGUCUCUGGGCCGAUACUGACGCUGAGGAGCGAAAGCGUGGGGAGCGAACAGG